UUAAGCAGGUACAGUUCCGUGGUUUUCAAUAUGCACAAGGCUGGGCAGGCAUCAGCACUAUCCAAAUCCAGAACAUUCGUGGUACCAAAAAGAAGCCCCAUCACCUCUGCCGUCACCUCGGCGGCCCCGACAGGUGGUCACCGGCUCACCUAGUCUCUGAGGACCUGGCUGUUUGGAGAUGUCACGUGAAUGGGAUCACAUGCCACAGGACUGUGCGGCCAUCCUCCCUGGGGGCCUGGUCACCUCUGCUCACUCACUCAGUGCUUGUUGGACUACGGGAUGCUGCGGGCAGCUCAUCCAGGCAGGAGCAGGCUUCCUGUGCUUCCUCCUCGGCCCCCUGAAGCGCACAGGGCCCUCUGCUUCUCGGAAACGCUGGGACCUGGAGCCAAUUCUGCAGUCCGUCUGGUCUUUCUCAUCUGAAGCAUGGCUGAAUGAUGCCCCCAGAGUUCCCAGAAGUAAUUUGUUGUCAAUUUUCUAGGUAGAAAAGUAUAACUGCAAUCAAUAAACUGGAUUUCACCUGCAGAAA